rnacentral:rRNA from 1 species
UUGUCCCUACGGGGGGCAGCAGUAGGGAAUCUUCCACAAUGGGCGAAAGCCUGAUGGAGCAACGCCGCGUGGGUGAAGAAGCGCCUCGGCGCGUAAAGCCCUGUCAGCAGGGAAGAAAAUGACGGUACCUGAAGAAGAAGCCCCAGCUAACUACGUGCCAGCAGCCGCGGUAAUACGUAGGGUGCAAGCGUUACUCGGAAUCACUGGGCGUAAAGAGCGCGUAGGCGGGAUAGCAAGUCAGAUGUGAAAUCCUAUGGCUUAACCAUAGAACUGCAUUUGAAACUGUUAUUCUAGAGUAUGGGCGG